rnacentral:tRNA from 1 species
AGGGGUGUGGCUCUGUGGUAGAGCACUGGCCUGCCAUGUACCAGACCCUGGGUUCCAGCCCCAGCACCGCCA